GACGAACGCUGGCGGCGUGCUUAACACAUGCAAGUCGAACGGAAAGGCCCUGCUUUUGUGGGGUGCUCGAGUGGCGAACGGGUGAGUAACACGUGAGUAACCUGGCCUUGACUGUGGGAUAACUUCAGGAAACUGGGGCUAAUACCGGAGAGGAGCUCCUGCUGCAGGGUGGGGGUUGGAAAGUUUCGGCGGUUGGGGAUGGACGCGCGGUUUAUCAGCUUGUUGGUGGGGUAGUGGCUUACCAAGGCUUUGAUGGUUAGCCGGCCUGGGAGGGUGACCCGCUCCAUUGGCCCUGGGAUCCGACCCGUGCUCUAUCGGGGGGCAGCGGCGGGAAAUUUUGCCAACUGGGCGGCGUCUUGGUGCAGCACCUCCGGGUGGGGGAGGACGUCAUUCGGGUAGUAAACGGCUUUCGCUUGUACCGAGCCGUGGUGACCGGUACUGGAGAAUAAGCCCCCGCUUACUUCGUG
rnacentral:rRNA from 1 species